rnacentral:rRNA from 1 species
AUGUCCAAUCUGUCAUCCAUUUGGUAUUGUCUCUACAAAUAUGUCAUACACGCCCACAAUUUGAGACACUACCUUAUUAUGAACAAAGUUUCCACAACAAUCCGGUAUGCAUCGCCAUUUGCUAUGACAUAUGUACACAGAGAACUUACAAGCCUUCAACAGCACCACAAUGUCACAUGUAAUUGCGAGAAUUCCAGCGAUCUUCAGGAGACCAUUUGUCUUCAUACCUACCAAGUGAGUACCCCGCAGCAGGUAUAUCAGCGAGAUGCAGAGGAUCAGGUUCUAUACCAUAGUCUGUCAAUGGUCGGUGCUCAAGGAUCUUGUCAUGUUCAGUAA